rnacentral:rRNA from 1 species
CCCUUAGAUGUUCUGGGCCGCACGCGUGCUACACUGAGUGGAUCAGCGGGUCAGGUUGCGCGAAAGUGUUUCCUAAUCUUGAAAUCCGCUCGUGAUGGGGAUUGACGGUUGCAAUUUUCCGUCAUGAACGAGGAAUACCUUGUAAGCGCGGGUCAUCAUCCCGCGCUGAAUACGUCCCUGCCCUUUGUACACACCGCCCGUCGCACCUACCGAUUGAAUGGUCCGGUGAAAUCUUGGGAUUUUGUUUUGUUUGCAUUUAUUUGUAUCGAGACGAGAGAACUUGAGUAAACCUUACCAUUUAGAGGAAGGUGAAGUCGUAACA